rnacentral:rRNA from 1 species
AAAAAAAAAAAAACACUUUUGAUGAUUUAGGAUUUGAAUGAAAAUUCAUUUUUUUAUGAUGGAACCGACUGGUAAUGCGGUCGUCUAAAUCUAAAAAACAACAUCUUUGAACGCACCUUGCGCUCCCGGCAGAUCUAAUCUGGGGAGCAUGCCUGUUUGAGGGCCGCGAAUUGUUUCGAACGACAGCUUUCUUCUUUGCGAGAAAGUUGGCGGAUCGGUAUUGAGGGUUUUUUUGCCAUUGACCGUGGCUCCCUCGAAAUGCAUUAGUGCAUCCAUUUAAUAGGCAAGACGAACGAAAGCUUGAUUUUCGCCCUCUCUUCCCUGCCGGGUUUUGAUAAUAUCAGGACUUCGGAGGGUGAAGGGAAAAGGGUUAGAGCUGGACGCAACGUUUUGCUGGUUGGAGUGCUUCUGAACCCCGCCCAUGCCUUUGCUUGCAAAGGAAGGGAUUUUUUUUUUUUUUUUUUGGAGGAAAAGAAACUAACAAGGAUUCCCCUAGUAACGGCGAGUGAAGAGGGAAGAGCCCAAGAUUGAAAGCUGGGCCUUCGGCGUCCGCAUUGUAAUCUCAAGAAGUGUUUUCCGCUUCGGACCGAGCCUAAGUCCCUUGGAAAAGGGCAUCGUAGAGGGUGAGAAUCCCGUACAUGGCUCGGAGCGCCCGAGGCUUUGUGAUACACUCUCAAAGAGUCGAGUUGUUUGGGAAUGCAGCUCAAAAUGGGUGGUAAAUGCCAUCUAAGGCUAAAUAUUGGGGAGAGACCGAUAGCGAACAAGUACCGUGAGGGAAAGAUGAAAAGAACUUUGAAAAGAGAGUUAAACAGUACGUGAAAUUGCCAAAAGGGAAGGGUAGGAGGUCAGAGAUGCGGUCUGGGAUUCAGCCUUGCUUUUGCUUGGUGUUUUUCCCAGUUUGCAGGCCAACGUCGGUUUUGGGCGCUGGAGAAGGGUGGGAGGAACGUGGCACCCCUCGGGGUGUGUUAUAGCCUCCUACUGGAUACAGUGACCGGGACCGAGGACAGCAGCGUACUCGCAAGAGCGGGCCUUCGGGCACCUUUACGCUUAGGG